AUGUACUGCAAGUUGUCGUAAAACGUUCAACGAUGUUCCAUAUGAUUGUAUUAAUGCUUGUGGUUUGACCAACUCUGUUGACAUCAACACUGAUGUUGGUCUUCGAAACUCUUAUGUAGUUGAUUCUUGCUUGCAAUCAUGCAAGAACAAGUGAUACUACAUUACAAGACUGGAAAAGUAAAAUAUUCUUAGAAGAAAUGUCAUAAAUAAAAAAAUUGUAACAAAAGAAUUUUAAUAAAUGAGUAAUGCAUUUUUUCUUUA